ACUCCUGAUAACUGCUGUGGGCUGUUUACGUCUCUGUCCGUGAUGUCGACAUGCUUAUCCUGAUUCAGCUUGGUUUCCUCAUGUGCAGAUGCAGCUCCACAUACACAACACAGUGAGACUGACGCGUAAAGGACCGUAACACAGGCACCAAACCUACUCAGACCCACAACUCCAACAAUAAACAAGAUAAGGCGCACACACGUCACAACCCCAUUGCUAAUAUUGGUGCACCGACGGCUAUUUUAUUUGGCUUCCUUCACAUCGGGAGAAGAUCAAGCUUAUUGUAAACAGGAUAUUAUGUUUCCAUGCACCAAACACCAAAACGGAAUAUGUGAGUGUCCAGAAUAUGAACAGGAUAUUGAUGUGCAGAGAAACACACUCUGUCACAGCUGAUCAAAUGUUCUCUAUUGCAGGGCGGCACGGCUCUCUGCACUCUGUUCAGUGUUACUAACAAAACUGCACCCAAAAGUCAUUUUAAGAGGCAAUGAGCCUGCAGAAGACAGAACAGGUUCAGCGUUUACUGCUUGUGACAGGAAAACUCCCCAAACUCUUGAAAGUCUUUUAAACAUUUUGACUUUGUGACAUUAAAAGUGUCCUUUAAAGUGCUCAUAUGUGUGGCCGGGUCAGCUCAGUUGGUAGAGCAGGCGCACAUGUAUAGAGGUGCAUGCCUCGAUGCAGAAGGUCCAGGUUUCGAGUCCGACUUCCUGCAUGUCUUUCCCCUCUCUCUAGCCUUUCAUAUAUAGCUGUCCUUUCCAUUAAAGGCUGAAAUGCCCAAAAUAAAUCUUAAAAAAAAUAAUA